rnacentral:lncRNA from 1 species
GCUAGGUUCUUUGUUAUCUUAAUCAGUUUGUUAUAUUUUUCUUAUACGUAACAACGAUAUUUGGUACUGUUCCUCGAGUCCUUUGUAUAAUUUGGAUUGAAUCCUUGAUUAUUAACUCCAUAUCACGGAAUAUUCUAAUAAUCGUGAAAACAAUAUUGUCGAGACUGGAAUUAAAGGAAGCUUAUAUUUUUUCAUUAUGCCGGCCUGCUUUUGUUUACCAAAUUGUCGUAGUGGAUAUAAAAAUACACCAAAGGACCCUAUGGUGUCACUACACUCUUUCCCUCUUGAUGAAUGCUUAAAAAGUGCCUGUCUUUGAGCGAUUUCUAGGCAAGCUGGCGGAGUUUACGCACCUUUUAAGAAUUCAAGAGUUUGCUCUCUUUAUUUUUAAGACAAUGAUUUUGUUACAGAAUGUCGAGAUAAGCUCCGGAAGAGUCGCAAAAAAACAGUUAAAAUCAGUGGAUAUCAAUUUCAAGAAUCGAUAUUUGGAACCUUCUUCUAUUCCGAAACUUUUUCAAAAUCUUCCUAAGUACUUUUCUAAUCACAAACAAGAGAGAACAACUAAAAAAGUCACUUCAUCAGCAAGGCUUGCAGCUGGAAAUCUUAGUAUUCUCCGAGAUUAAUAAACUUUUCGGAAAAUGGACUCUGUGGGUGACUUUGAUUAUUUAUGUUCAAAAGUUGCUUGUGAAAUACUUCCGGCUAAUACCCAUUAUAGAAAAAUAGAUAAUUGUAUUCAAUUUUAUUGUUUGGAAGGCUCACAACAAAGCUUCCUUGAAAUUAUAUUAACUUUUUCUAUUAAAAUGGAGCUUACUCUUCCAUAAGAAUAUUAAACUGCAUCAUGAGAUUAUUCAACACAUAACAGUUGAAGAGAAGAUUACUUCUAUCAGUAAGCUUCAAAAUAUAUUAGCCGACAUGAAAACUCUUAAUUCUCCGUUAAUGCAAGAUACCAUUUGCAAUUCCUUGAAUGAUUUUAGUAAGCUUGCUAAAAAUUUGUCAUCGGAUCUUGACUCUCAUCAGCGAAAAAAAUAAAUAAUAAUUAUAUGAGAACAGCUCAAUUUGCUGAACUCUCCUGCAACCUUUAGACGUUAUUAGAAUACCUCUUAACAAAGUAUGAUUUUAAAUACGUUCUUCUUGGGCAAGUACAGAGCCAUCUUAUUGAAUGAAGGUGUAUGUGGUACCUUCAGCUCUCUGGAUCCAACUAUUAUGUUUCUGCUAGACAGAAACUUAAUACUGAGAAGAAAAUUAGAAUACUUUCACUUGCAAAAUUUGAUGGUCUUAAUAUGCGAGAAAUACAGGGUAUUCAUUCAACUAGUAUUGAAGUCCAACGUUCCAAAGAUCCGUUCAAACCAAAAAAUUUGGGAUUCAUCAAUGAAGGUGAAAUAGUUUAUGAGGUAGAAAAAAGUGAUGAAGCCCUCUUUUUUGUGAUUUCUGGAUAUAUUGAUAGGUCGCAAACAUCAAAACUCAAAUGCAACUAUUGUUUUGAACUCCUAGAAUUUUCAAAAGAUUUUUCUUCAGUUAUUUUCACUGAAUCUGGUAACAACAAUUCCAAUGUAGAACUUCUUGAGCAAAUAAAUAGAGGAGGUCCCUACUCUUCUACAGACUUCUGUAUUUCUCUAGUUAUUAAAAUGUACAUUGUAUAUCAUGUUAUAAUGACAAAAUGAAAAAUAAAAAUGGUUUUUUUUUUCCAAUGCCAACA